rnacentral:rRNA from 1 species
GUGACCUCGGAUCGGGGUAG